rnacentral:lncRNA from 1 species
CACGUAUUUUCAUAUCGUUUAGUUCUUUUUUCAUUUCUUCCUUCUCCUUGUGUUUAGUUUGGUUUUCUUGUUUAACUUUCUCCAAUUCUGUUUUCAGGUCGUUUAAUUCCUCCCAGUACUUUCUCUGUUUAUUCUUUAUCUCUUUUACUUCCCCGCGGCCGUCAAUGG